CCUUAGAGAGUUGGAUUUGGUCUGACCUUAGAGAGUUGGAUUGGGUCUGACCUUAGAGGGUUGGAUUGGGUCUGACCUUAGAGAGUUGGAUUGGGUCUGACCUUAGAGGGUUGGAUUGGGUCUGACCUUAGAGAGUUGGAUUUGGUCUGACCUUAGAGAGUUGGAUUGGGUCUGGCCUUAGAGAGUUGGAUUGGGUCUGAGUGAUAUUUCCACCACAAAAUCUUCACCUAUCCAGUGUAGUUAGGUAAGACAUCACUUUGAGGAAGGAAGGAAGGAUCUCUAAAAUGUUGGAACAGAGCUGUAUCUUAUAUAAGAGCAUUCAAAUUGCCACACCUUUAAGUCUCUGUCUGUCUGUCUCUGUCUGUCUCUGUCUGUCCACUGCACCAAAGACGUGUAAAUACCAUUUCCAAGUACAUGAACACACUCUGUAAAAAACACUAAGUGAGGGAAUAUAGUUCUGAAUAACGAGUUCAUGAUAAGGGCUCUUAGUGUAAAUAUUGUAGUAGAUAAAACAGGCUUGUUGUUAAUACUGUAACAAGUGAUGGGUGAUAGCCUAUCACCAGGCAUUGGUUGUGUCAUCUACAUUAUGAUUAAUAACUGUAAUGAGACAGUCAUAAUAUCAGAAUUAAAGGGACAGAGCACAGGAGGUUGGUGGCACCUUAAUUGGGGAGGACGGGCUUUUGUUGGAAUGACUGGAGUGGAAUCAGUGGAAUUGUAUGAAACACAUCUAACAAAGGGUUCUGUGUUUGAUGCAAUGGUGGGAAAAGUAUUCAAUUAAACAACUUUUGUAAAAGUAAAGAUACCUUAAUAGGAAAUGACUCAAGUAAAAGUAAAGAUACCUUAAUAGGAAAUGACUCAAGUAAAAGUAAAGAUACCUUAAUAGGAAAUGACUCAAGUAAAAGUAAAGAUACCUUAAUAGGAAAUGACUCAAGUAAAAGUAAAAGUCACCCAGUAAAAUACUACUUGAGUUAAAGUCUAAAAGUAUUUGGUUUUAAAAGAAAAAUGUAACUGCUAAAAUGUACUUAAGUAUCAAAAGUAGAAGUAUAAACCAUUUCAAAUUCCUUUUAUUAAGCAAACCAGACUGCACAAUUUUUUAUUUUAUUUUUAUUGACAGGUAGCCAGGGACACACUCCAACACUCAUACAUACAGACGAAGCAUUUGUGUUUAGUGAGUCUGCCAGGCCAGAGGCUUAAGGACUUUACACCACUGGUUUGAUGCCAUUCCAUUCGGUCUGUUCCAGACAUUGUUAUGAGCUUUCCUUCCACUUAGAGGAAGGAAGGAAGGAAGGAAGGAAGGAAGGAAAGAAAGAAGGAUGCAUCUCUAAAAUGUUGGAACAGAGUUGUAUCUUAUAUAUACUGCCACGCCUUAAGUCUCUGUCUGUCUCUGGCUGUCUCUUUCUGGCUGUCUGUCUCUGUCUGUCCACUACACCAAAGACGUGUAAAUACCAUUUCCAAGUACAUGAACACACUCUGUAAAAAACACUUAGUGAGGGAAUAUAGUUCUGAAUAACGAGUUCAUGAUAAGGGCUCUUAGUGUAAAUAUGAUGGAUGGGUGAUAGCCUAUCACCAGGCAUUGGUUGUGUCAUCUACAUUAUGAUUAAUAACUGUAAUGAGACAGUAAUUAUAUCAGAAUUAAAGGGAUAGAGCACAGCGGAGAAAUAAGGUUUUCUUUUAAAAUUCUAUUGUGGUUUAUAAUGUCAUGUUUUAACAAAAAAUGUAUUGUAAUAAAGUCAUGUGGCCAAAGCUGA
ensembl:lncRNA